GGUGACGGGAAGCGGCGUCAUACACCACUGUCAAGUAUAAAGUACAGCUGUUUAUUCAUUUAGGUAGAACAGGGGUUGUUACCACAGAAUCACUGCAGGGUAAAAGUAGGGUGCUGAUUAUUCUGAAAGGGUACGGACCGACGGCCUGUAUAGGGCCGGAGCGGUGCCCUUUGUUCCUUUUCCUUUUUAGGUAGACUCCCGCAGUUUAAAGAGACAUCGUGGUCUUACCAAAAAUUUAGCAGCCAAUCCCUCGUUGUACGCUAGGGACGAGGAGUCUCUGGACGCUUUGAAAGUUGAGUCGAUGGAAGAAUAGCCCUUGUGCCUCAGUAGUUUGCCUGUCCGACCUAAGAUAACGUUACAUAUUCAAUUUAAGUCUCUGUUUAUAAACAUUCUUAUGCCGUGUUGUAUAAGAUAGCCUACUAUAAUUCGACAAUGGAGAUGUAAAUUCCUAUUUUACAAUUUGUUGCUUCCUCCCAUUGGAAAGGAAAUAAACCUGCAGAGUUGUGCAAUAUUUAGCCAUCGAAAUCGUAUAUAAACUGUAGCCGUUGCAACAUCGCAUGGGUACUACGUACUAUGAACAUUUUUAACCGAGCCUUAUACAGAACACAAACACAACUAGCUACA